rnacentral:rRNA from 1 species
UUUUACCCUGCCGGAACUUAAGCAUAUCAAUAAGCGGAGGAAAAGAAACCAACAGGGAUUGCCCUAGUAACGGCGAGUGAAGCGGCAACAGCUCAAAUUUGAAAUCUGGCUCUUUCAGAGUCCGAGUUGUAAUUUGCAGAGGGCGCUUUGGCUUUGGCAGCGGUCCAAGUUCCUUGGAACAGGACGUCACAGAGGGUGAGAAUCCCGUACGUGGUCGCUAGCUAUUGCCGUGUAAAGCCCCUUCGACGAGUCGAGUUGUUUGGGAAUGCAGCUCUAAAUGGGAGGUAAAUUUCUUCUAAAGCUAAAUAUUGGCCAGAGACCGAUAGCGCACAAGUAGAGUGAUCGAAAGAUGAAAAGCACUUUGGAAAGAGAGUCAAACAGCACGUGAAAUUGUUGAAAGGGAAGCGCUUGCAGCCAGACUUGCUUGCAGUUGCUCAUCCGGGCUUUUGCCCGGUGCACUCUUCUGCAGGCAGGCCAGCAUCAGUUUGGGCGGUGGGAUAAAGGUCUCUGACACGUUCCUUCCUUCGGGUUGGCCAUAUAGGGGAGACGUCAUACCACCAGCCUGGACUGAGGUCCGCGCAUCUGCUAGGAUGCUGGCGUAAUGGCUGUAAGCGGCCCGUCUUGAAACACGGACCAAGGAGUCUAACAUCUAUGCGAGUGUUUGGGUGUCAAGCCCGAGCGCGUAAUGAAAGUGAACGGAGGUGGGAACCCGCAAGGGUGCACCAUCGACCGAUCCUGAAGUUUACGGAAGGAUUUGAGUAAGAGCAUGGCUGUUGGGACCCGAAAGAUGGUGAACUAUGCUUGAAUAGGGUGAAGCCAGAGGAAACUCUGGUGGAGGCUCGCAGCGGUUCUGACGUGCAAAUCGAUCGUCAAAUUUGGGCAUAGGGGCGAAAGACUAAUCGAACUAUCUAGUAGCUGGUUCCUGCCGAGU